rnacentral:lncRNA from 1 species
UUUUUUUGUGACGUCUGUCAAAUUGCGCUCCGUAAUCCACUGUUUCCCAAUGGAGGCUGAAAUUACGACUUCAACCGUGCGCUACCACUCGAUACUUUUACAAUGAUCCAUUCUAUAACUCUUACUGUGUACCCGUGCUUAUCCUGAUCGUUAUAGAGUUGUCAGUCGGAGUUGGAAUCCAUCGUUUUUUUAAUAAAAAGUUGCAUUCUGUGCAUCCCCUGCCAAAACGAAAGAAUCUGCUGCUCUUUCUCCGUUAACAAACAAAUGGCUCCCUUGGCAGCGGUACAAUUUUACUUUUAUCAAAAACUACGCAUUUCAGCACCCAAGGAAAAGUUUGCAGUUACACAGGACAAACAUAGGUACAUGGUAGGCGUUGAAAAAUUGUUAUUUUUUUUACAAGUAUCGACUGACACUGACUCGAUGUAGUCGUAAGUACACACCGCCGACAGUUAUUGCAACUCAAUUUUAUUGAGAUGUAUAUGGAUUUGAACGCGAUCAGGAUUAAGCAUUUAUGGGCCCUGGAAAUGGAGGGAUAGCACUAAAAGUGGUCAACAUAAUUUAUCUGCAAGAAAUAUUUGUCAAAAAUGAGUGCAUACAUGUUAUAAACAACAUUUUGGGAGAAUACAAGAAAGAAUUGAGUUGAAAAAUGAAUAAUUGAUAGAGUACUGUGGAUGACAAUAUCCCUGUGGACCUCCCAUGCCCUUGUAACCUUGUUGUGAAUCUAAAGUAAACAAAACGAACAUCAUUAGACAAAGGGUCAGGUUUGAGUUUGUUUCCAGCUUCACAACCCCAGGACACCAUGUGUGUCCAUGUCGUUUUUAUUGAGCCUUUGAAAUGUUUGGUGAUCGACUAGGAAUGCCUUGGAGAUUGACCAGUGGAUCACGAUCGACCGGUUGGUGACCACUGCUCUAGAAAGUUGAGUGAAGUUCAAUCUCAUGCUUUUCUCUGUGGGCUGACAUUUCUGUACGACAGUUCCGGGGAGCUGUGUGGCAGUCUUAGAGGGAACAUUGCUGAUGAUUCAACCAUAUACGCAUCAGCAACCACAGCUAAUGAAUUCAAUGAAACCCUUAACAAAGAGUUGCCGUCUGUUUUGGAAUGGGUGGCCAGUAAUAAACUGGUCCUGAACAUCUCUAAAACUAAGAACAUUGUAUUUG